rnacentral:rRNA from 1 species
GACGAACGCUGGCGGCGUGCCUAACACAUGCAAGUCGAACGGGGGAGCAUGGCGGAAGUUUUCGGACGGAAGCCAAGCUCUCUAGUGGCGGACGGGUGAGUAACGCGUGGGCAACCAACCCUGUACAGUGGGAUAACACCGGGAAACCGGUGCUAAUACCGCAUGACACCAAUCUGGCGCAUGCCGGGUAGGUUAAAGGGACUGACCGGUACAGGACGGGCCCGCGUCCCAUUAGCUAGUUGGUGAGGUAACGGCUCACCAAGGCGACGAUGGGUAGCCGACCUGAGAGGGUGACCGGCCACACUGGGACUGAGACACGGCCCAGACUCCUACGGGAGGCAGCAGUGGGGAAUAUUGCGCAAUGGACGAAAGUCUGACGCAGCGACGCCGCGUGAGCGACGAAGGCCUUCGGGUCGUAAAGCUCUGUUCUUGGGGACGAAGUAUGACGGUACCCAAGGAGAAAGCCCCGGCUAACUACGUG